AAAGAACAUUUUGUACUGUUGUAUUGAAAUAACACUUUGCACUGAACUAACAUAUAGCUAAAUAAUGGAAUAACAUAUAGCUAAAAAGUACUGACACCUAUAAAGCUUGACAGACGUUAUACUUAAGAUUUUAUAACAAAUCUUGCAGAGCCUGCACUACGUGCAUAAGACUUAUUAACAUACAGACAGUAGAUGUCACAAGAUGUUCUGUUCAGACCAAAUUUAGCCUAGGACAGCAAAAUAAUUACACAAUAACGAUUACGAUAAGUCCAGACACAUAGUCAGGCGGUUCACCCACGUACAGACCGCACCCACCAUGCGGGAUAAAUAGCAAAUGAACUAUUGUACCAGGUUCCUGUCCUCUGCGCGAUCCAGCCCUGGUUGGUGACUCGUGAGACAGAAACCCAGAGACUCUUAAACGAACACACGGCAAGGACAUGGCCGAGGUCUAGGACGAGAAUCCUUCCGAACACGGCUCCUCCAAGCCAUUUCACAGGGAAGGACCACAUCAAGAGCCAAUGGAGGCAGGUACAGACCUUGGGCAAUGAGUUCUGGGUUUGCUGGAGACAGUAGUACUUGCCAACUCUGCUGAGCAGACGCAAAUGGAAUGAGACACACAGAGAUCUGCAAACUGGAGACAUUCACGUUCUUUUGAAAGAUAGUCAGCUGUCCCGUAAUGAGUGGCCUAUGGGAUUAGUCACCUCUGUUUUCCCAAGCAGCGAUGGGAAAAUGCUAAAGAUAGAGUGGUAAAGAUAGAAAGCAAUGGCUUUAAGUUCUUUUUUUAAUAUUUAUGCUUAUAAUCAUAUAUUGAAGAGUAUUUGUGACAGAUGAUGUUUAAUUAUGUAGCAUUUGUGAAUGUUCAGUUUGCUGGUUAUACAUUCAAGUUUAGCAUAAAACAUACAUUGAACAGGAUUUACAGUGACAUUAGUUGGAUUUAAGUAAAUUGUUUAUUGUAUAUGGUGCCCUAUAUGUUUCACUGUAUCAGAGGAUUUGUUCAUUUCCAUCUAAAUUCAUAUUUCUGUAAAAGAGAGUAAUUUGUGUAUUUUCUUUUUCUUUAUACUUUUCACUCUUUUUCAAUUACAAGAAUGUGACAGCACUGGAAAGUCAUUAAACUUGAGAGCUGAGAUGCUACCUUCCUGACUCUCAUUUCGGAAUUGAA